GAAAUGCGAUAAGUAGUGUGAAUUGCAGAAUUCAGUGAAUCAUCGAAUCUUUGAACGCACAUUGCGCCCCUUGGUAUUCCAUGGGGCAUGCCUGUUCGAGCGUCAUUUGUACCCUCAAGCUUUGCUUGGUGUUGGGUGUUUGUCCUCUCCCUCGCGUUUGGACUCGCCUCAAAGAAAUUGGCAGCCAGUGUAUUGGUAUUGAAGCGCAGCACAAUUUGCGAUUCUAGCUAGUACUUACUUGCGACCAUCAAGUCUUCUUUAACACUUUUGACCUCGGAUCAGGUAGGGAUACCCGCUGAACUUAA
rnacentral:misc_RNA from 1 species